CUUUUUUUUUUUUUUUUUUUUUUUUUUUUUAGUACUUAGCCAAGGACUACUUCUUUGUUCCGAAGAGAACUGUUCGUUAUUGAUCUUAGCGAUUCCCUUUGCUGCCCUGUAGCCUCCAGUGUUUGCUCAUGACCAUGCUCAUAAUCUGUUUUGUAUGAAUGGUUUUGAACAUUCAGAGAAUAAUUGGUUCUAAUAUUAAAUGCAGUAUAUACUAUUGAUAGUUUUAUCGAUAAGUGUAAUAUUUUAAAUAAUUUUAACAAUUAAAUUUGUUUUUUAAAUUAUAUAUUUGUAAAGUAUUUAUCCUGUUGAAAGCAACAAUAUAUUGUUGUAUUUAUUCGUUUAUUUUUGUAAUAAAUGAUCAACCUCUUCAAGCUAAAUCAAAAA
rnacentral:lncRNA from 1 species